rnacentral:rRNA from 1 species
UACGUAGGGUGCGAGCGUUAAUCGGAAUUACUGGGCGUAAAGCGUGCGCAGGCGGUUUUGUAAGACAGAUGUGAAAUCCCCGGGCUCAACCUGGGAACUGCGUUUGUGACUGCAAGACUCGAGUGCGGCAGAGGGGGGGUGGAAUUCCACGUGUAGCAGUGAAAUGCAGUAGAGAUGUGGAGGAACACCGAUGGCGAAGGCAGCCCCCUGGGUCGACACUGACGCUCAUGCACGAAAGCGUGGGGAGCAAACAGG